rnacentral:rRNA from 1 species
CACGUAGGGACCGAGCGUUGUCCGGAUUUAUUGGGCGUAAAGAGCUCGUAGGCGGUCGUGUAAGUCGGGUGUGAAAUCUCCAGGCUCAACUUGGAGGGGCCACCCGAUACUGCUCGACUCGAGUCCGGUAGGGGAGUGGGGAAUUCCUGGUGUAGCAGUGAAAUGCGCAGAUAUCAGGAGGAACACCGGUGGCGAAGGCGGCUCACUGGUCCAUUACUGACGCUGAGACGACGAAGCGUGGGGAGCAAACAGG